ensembl:lncRNA
GAUUUUGAGACGCCAGGGAAGAAGCCUCAGACGUUAGAGGCCGCACACUCUCAGAGCGCGCUUGCGGGCGUCUGGGCGCGGAUGAGCGGCCUUCUCCAGUCGCGAGUGCACAAAAGGUAGCGCCGAGUCUCUUCUCAGGCGACCCGAGCUAAGAGGAGAGGAGAGCGGGGUUUUCUGACUUCCAACUCAAUAGGGACCAGAGAGAAAGACUAAUUGAUAAAACUUUUGACACUGGAAAACUUGGUUAGAUUAGUAACCAAAGAUGUCAUCAUCUUAGCUACAGAAAAUCUUGGAAAAGGUUUUCUUUCUUCAGGAUCAGACACAGAAACUGAUUGAAUGGCUCCACUGAUCAGGAUUUGAAAAACCAAAUCUCAGAACCUACCACUUGGUGUAUGUCUGCCUUGAGCAGUUUCUUCUUUAGCAACAGGACACUUGCAUAAUAUGGGAGCAUCAUUUCUUCUUCACUUCUCCCUGAUUUUGUAAAAUGUGAUCAAUUUUUUUUUCAUAAUUUUUAAAGUUAACUUCAUGGGAAAUCUCGUUGCAAACACAAUGUAAAAGCUAAAAUGCAUCCUUUGAAAGAUGCGUGUAGGUCUUAUGCUGAGUUGCAAAGAAGAGAGAUUACUUGCCUUGCCACAGAAAUGCUACUUUUCUUUGACAACGAUGUGCUCCCUAAAUUUCCCAGAAUACCACAUUAAGGUCAUGAAGAGUUGGUUGAGAAAGAAGGGAACGUGGAAUAUCUGGUUUUAGAUCAUCCCAAACUUGUCUCAUCAAUAAAAUGUCAACUUCAGGUCUGCUUAUUUGUUGGACAGGAUAGAGAUGGAACUUUAAAAAGGCCUGGAGUGACCUGUGGAUUGAAGAGAAACCUCCCCAAACCAGAGAUGAGGACUUUUUCACCAGCAGUUUUCAAACACAGACUUGAAAAAUAAUAAAUUAACCUUUCAUUUCAACACCUUGAAACCUUAGAAAAUUGUGUGAUCACUGAUAAAUCAUUAAAAUCACUUUUUUCUUCUUUGAACAUAAUAAAGACCAUUUUUCUUAGACCUGUUAUAUACCUUCAAAUGGAGUAAAUACAAUGAAUAAACAAGUUACUUUAUAUUUUCAAUCUAGUUAUAGGGAAGGAAUGUUUUUGGAUCCUGGAUGUUAGCAGUUUCCUUUAAAAAAAAAAAAAACCCAGGAAACCCUUUAUAAAUGAAAGAAAUGUGUAUAGUAUGCAAAUUCAAAGUGUGCUGUCCUCAUUUACCCAGUGGAAUUCAAAAUAAGCCCCAACUUGUGAACAUAUUAAAACAGAUUGAAAUGGAUAUUAGUGGGAUUUGUACGGAGAAGCAC